rnacentral:rRNA from 1 species
UACGAAUGGAGCGAGCGUUGUUCGGAAUCAUUGGGCGUAAAGCGUAUGUAGGCGGACAGAAAAGUCAGAAGUGAAAUCCCAAGGCUCAACCUUGGAAUUGCUUUUGAAACUCUCUGUCUAGAGUCCCGGAGGGGUUGACGGAAUUCCGAGUGUAGAGGUGAAAUUCGCAGAUAUUCGGAGGAACACCAGUGGCGUAGGCGGUCAACUGGACGGGAACUGACGCUGAGAUACGAAAGCGUGGGUAGCAAAC